UACAGAGGUCUCAAGCGUUGUUCGGAUUCAUUGGGCGUAAAGGGUGCGUAGGUGGCGCCGUAAGUCAGGUGUGAAAUUUCGGAGCUUAACUCCGAAACUGCAUUUGAUACUGCGGUGCUUGAGGACUGGAGAGGAGACUGGAAUUCACGGUGUAGCAGUGAAAUGCGUAGAUAUCGUGAGGAAGACCAGUGGCGAAGGCGGGUCUCUGGACAGUUCCUGACACUGAGGCACGAAGGCCCAGGGGGAGCAAAACGGGG
rnacentral:rRNA from 1 species